GUUAAUUUUGAAGUUUUAUUUAUUGUGAACAGUUUUAAACAUGCAGAAUAGUUUGUAAAUUGCAGCAAUUGAGCACACAUAUUAAGUUUAUACCAAAAUUAUUAAAAUAAUUAGGUAAAAUCAUAAGUUAAUAGUUUGCGAGUCCAGCAUUCUGCCGAAAUUCUGUAAUAACCUCAUAUAUUUCAUGUUACCUAAUUUAAUGAAAACUAAAAGUUUGGGAUUUCUUAUUGGUUGUGUAUUGUGAUACAAUUUUUAAAUGUUUGGACAUAUUUUACCUAAUUGCUAUCAACUGUAAUAAGAGUUGAUGUAAUUAAUAAGUUAAUAAAGUGAUUUAUUAGGACUCUUGUUUAAAGAACUAUUUGAUUUUCAAUAACAUUGCAAUCAGUUGAUCUGAAAUGCCAAGGAUAGUUGGUUAGUGAGAAACAUUUAAUAUGCUCUGGGAACUCAGGUACACUCUAUGAAUGUAUAUCAAAACGGACCAAAUGCAACCUCAUCCCAAAUUUGCACAGAUGUAAAACAAUGCCAGGAAUUCAUUAAGUCAAUUUUUGUGGUAUUUUAAUUUGUUUUUAACUAACUAUAUACUAUCAAUAAGGCUAGAACGAAACAUAAUAUGCAUUUUAAUAAGAUCAGUUAUAUCCAUAGUGUAUUUAAAUUCUGCAAAUAUAUAUUUAAAUAUGUAGUUACUAAGAAUAA